rnacentral:lncRNA from 1 species
AUGAGGAGGAGGAAUACGACCCAGAGGACUAUGCCCGAGAGCAAGAGCUCCACAAGCUGCUCACUGACCUGCCUGAUGACAUGCUGGAGGACAGCAGAGACUCCUCCUCUCCUGAGCUGGACUGCUCUGCCUGCAGCAACCCAGACACACGGAACAGGUAAGGUUAUUUAUUUUUCAGCCGGAGAUGAAAUGGAGAGGGAGAGAAGUAGCAGCAGAGGGAGAAAAGUAGUUGCAGCAGAGGGAGAAUAGUAGCUGCAGCAGAGGGAGAAUAGUAGUUGCAGCAGAGGGAGAAUAGUAGCUGCAGCAGAGGGAGAAUAGUAGCUGCAGCAGAGGGAGAAUAGUAGCUGCAGCAGAGGGAGAAUAGUAGCUGCAGCAGAGGGAGAAUAGUAGUUGCAGCAGAGGGAGAAUAGUAGUUGCAGCAGAGGGAGAAUAGUAGUUGCAGCAGAGGGAGAAUAGUAGUUGCAGCAGAGGGAGAAUAGUAGUUGCAGCAGAGGGAGAAUAGUAGCUGCAGCAGAGGGAGAAUAGUAGUUGCAGCAGAGGGAGAAUAGUAGUUGCAGCAGAGGGAGAAUAGUAGUUGCAGCAGAGGGAGAAUAGUAGUUGCAGCAGAGGGAGAAUAGUAGUUGCAGCAGAGGGAGAAUAGUAGCUGCAGCAGAGGGAGAAUAGUAGCUGCAGCAGAGGGAGAAUAGUAGCUGCAGCAGAGGGAGAAUAGUAGCUGCAGCAGAGGGAGAAUAGUAGUUGCAGCAGAGGGAGAAUAGUAGUUGCAGCAGAGGGAGAAUAGUAGUUGCAGCAGAGGGAGAAUAGUAGUUGCAGCAGAGGGAGAAUAGUAGUUGCAGCAGAGGGAGAAUAGUAGUUGCAGCAGAGGGAGAAUAGUAGUUGCAGCAGAGGGAGAAUAGUAGUUGCAGCAGAGGGAGAAUAGUAGUUGCAGCAGAGGGAGAAUAGUAGCUGCAGCAGAGGGAGAAUAGUAGCUGCAGCAGAGGGAGAAUAGUAGCUGCAGCAGAGGGAGAAUAGUAGCUGCAGCAGAGGGAGAAUAGUAGUUGCAGCAGAGGGAGAAUAGUAGUUGCAGCAGAGGGAGAAUAGUAGCUGCAGCAGAGGGA